rnacentral:rRNA from 1 species
GACGAACGCUGGCGGCGUGCCUAAUACAUGCAAGUUGAGCGCUGAAGGUUGGUACUUGUACCAACUGGAUGAGCAGCGAACGGGUGAGUAACGCGUGGGGAAUCUGCCUUUGAGCGGGGGACAACAUUUGGAAACGAAUGCUAAUACCGCAUAAAAACUUUAAACACAAGUUUUAAGUUUGAAAGAUGCAAUUGCAUCACUCAAAGAUGAUCCCGCGUUGUAUUAGCUAGUUGGUGAGGUAAAGGCUCACCAAGGCGAUGAUACAUAGCCGACCUGAGAGGGUGAUCGGCCACAUUGGGACUGAGACACGGCCCAAACUCCUACGGGAGGCAGCAGUAGGGAAUCUUCGGCAAUGGACGAAAGUCUGACCGAGCAACGCCGCGUGAGUGAAGAAGGGUUUCGGAUCGUAAAAAUCAGUUGGUAGAGAAGAACGUUGGUGAGAGUGGAAAGCUCAUCAAGUGACGGUAACUACCCAGAAAGGGACGGCUAACUACGUG